UUCAAUUUCAAAUAAAAGUAAUAACUCCAGAACAUAAUUUGAAUAAGGAAAGCUCAAGGAAACAGUCGGUAGCACACAGACCUAAUCGACAAGGAAGAUAUGCCCAAAAUCAAUGGAAACCAACAGAAUUCACAAUAAAAAUUUGCAUCACAUACGGGUACCACAUAAACCCGCUCUUCAACAUUUCCACUCUAACGGAAUCUCAAAUAUCAUUGCAUUUCGAUUAACACCAUAAUAUGAUAAAUAGCAAAGAAAAGCUAACAUCCUAGGAGAAAACAAGAUCCUAGUCUAUAUAGGCUAAAUUUCUCAGCUAACAGAAUGAUGACCUAUGCAUAACAUCAUUCGAUAGUCUAAACACCAUUAUCUGUCCAUAGGAAAUUAUUCAAAUCUUUAUAACCUUCUUUUCGGAUAAGUUGAAACUAUUAAACGUUUUAGCAUAGUUUGAUCUUUUUCCAAUCACAUAACUGGACGAGCUUCAAUCAAACAUGCCAAACGAAUGGAGAUUCAGUAAACUCAAUAGAAAUCGGCAUCACAGAUUAAUAUAUUAACUAGCUCACAAACAUCAUCUGUUAAUAAAACAAGGAGAAGUAGAAGACAAACUUGUUGGAACUUUCAGUUAAUUCUUCAGCAGAUUACAAAAGAAUCCGACAGUGACAAUCCAACGCAAACCAUAGCCCAAAGAAAAAAAUAGAAAUUAGCAGCCACGAACGAACCCCGAUCGGUGACAAGCACUCAAAACAACUCUGACACGAGCAGAAUUUAACUCGUCUCCAUUGAAAUCAGAAGAAGCAACAAAAAACUUUGAAAUUCAAUUAAACCCCAUGACAAAACUUUUCAUAUCAAAACAUGAGUCUAACAGAUUCAGCGACAAGGAUCUGAAAAAUGAAAAUCCCAACGACGAACUAACCCAAACAACAGAAUGAAACACACUCCAACCGGAACCGCGAACUCGAAACUCGGAAGGCGAAUCCAACCGGCCUCAAACAAACUCCAUUACAAAAACACACAACAAAAGAAAACCCAGAAUUAAAUAGAAGAAACUGAAGUGUUCUUGUAUAUUUUCGCCUUCUGAAACUCAAACCUUAAUGUUGUUGGAAGGUUGAGCAAUUGGGUUUAAUUAGGAGUUAGGAGUGAAGUUCUCAUGUUUUGAAAAUGGUAAAACAGAGAUUCAGGGGUUGUUUGGUUCUUAGCUGAGGCAGUCGAGGAUGGCAGCCAUAAGUUUUGGCGCCUCUUCUAUGAAGAAGAAGCAGCCCGAUCGCUGGAGAUGGGGGUUCGAUUUUCUACAAAGGCUGCGAUCAAUUUUUCCAUGUAUCAGGCGUAUCCUUUUUGUGUGUAUAGGUGUCUAUACAUGUGUAUUGUAUCGCGUGUAUGCGUGUAUAGCUUCGAGCUUCGUCCAGAAGAAGUGAAGCUGUGCAGCUGCCCUGAAGAAUUUCCAGGGGUCUCCCUCUCUAUAUUGUGUGUCUUCUUCAGAAAAAGCCCCGCUGCCUUCCUGUAUUCGUGUGUAUAGGUUUUAGGUUAGGAAAUUGAAUUGGGUAUAGGGUUAGGUUGGGAUGGGGCUAAUAUGGGUUGGGGUUAAAUGAAGAAUGAGUAUUGAAG
rnacentral:lncRNA from 1 species